GCGAAGGUGGCGGAAUUGGUAGACGCGCUAGCUUCAGGUGUUAGUGUUCCUAAGGGUGGGGGUUCAAGUCCCCCCCCUCGCA
rnacentral:tRNA from 1 species